GUGAAAUGACAUCACAUGGUAUGUGAGGGGCCCUGAAGCUCAACGCCAGGCCAAUGCAAAUAAGUCAAAUAAACUGAACGGGUCCCGAUGACCCGAAGCACAACACAAGAGUAAUAAAAAGGUUUUUA